rnacentral:rRNA from 1 species
CCCUAUGGGGUGCAGCAGGUUUUCGCUCCCGCGAGGAUUCCAGCUUCCAUUCGGAAACCUGAAUGGACCCGGUAGUAGCAACGCUAGUCACGGGAACGGAAGGCAGUUUCGGCGAGGAGAUUCCCGGCAACAUCAACGUAACCAUCGCGGCCACUACGAUCGACAUAGAAUCUCUCCCCCUGCCCCUGAACUCGGUUACAAAAGUACGACGAUUCGUAUAGCAAGAUCAAUGAACCAAAGUAACGCCGUUUAGCCGCAAUUGCCAGCAUUGUUUCUGCAGCUCGAUUGCAGAUGCAGGGGCUGGAACGCGCGGGAAGGCGUACCUUCAGGCUAUUUCAAUGCAAAUCCGGGGCCAAGGACCCCUGUUUAAUAGCAGAACCGUCACAGCAAGGAAUUGGCGGGAGGGC